GCGAAAGUCCCCUUCGGGGGACGAGUAGAGUGGCGCACGGGUGAGUAACACGUAGGUAAUCUACCUUCGGAUGGGGAAUAACAAUCGGAAACGGUUGCUAAUACCGCAUAAUGCAGCGGCACCUAAUGGUGACAGUUGUUAAAGCGGGGGAUCGAAAGACCUCGCGUCUGAAGAGGAGCCUGCGGCGGAUUAGCUAGUUGGUAAGGUAAUGGCUUACCAAGGCAACGAUCCGUAACCGGCCUGAGAGGGCGGUCGGUCACACUGACACUGACAUACGGGUCAGACUCCUACGGGAGGCAGCAGUCGGGAAUUUUGGGCAAUGGGCGAAAGCCUGACCCAGCAACGCCGCGUGAAGGAUGAAAUCCCUCGGGAUGUAAACUUCGCAAGAACGGGAAGAAUAAGUAGGGGACAAUACCCCCUAUGAUGACGGUACCGUUUGUAAGCUCCGGCUAACUCCGUGCCAGCAGCCGCGGUAAUACGGGGGGAGCAAGCGUUGUUCGGAUUUACUGGGCGUAAAGGGCGCGUAGGCGGCCAGCGCAAGUCAGUUGUGAAAUCUCCGAGCUUAACUCGGAAAGGUCAACUGAUACUGCGCGGCUAGAGUGCGGAAGGGGCAACUGGAAUUCUUGGUGUAGCGGUGAAAUGCGUAGAUAUCAAGAGGAACACCUGCGGCGAAGGCGGGUUGCUGGGCCGACACUGACGCUGAGGCGCGAAAGCUAGGGGA
rnacentral:rRNA from 1 species